GACGAACGCUGGUGGCGUGCCUAACACAUGCAAGUCGAACGGAACUGUUUUGAAAGAUUUCUUCGGAAUGAAUUUGAUUUAGUUUAGUGGCGGACGGGUGAGUAACGCGUGAGUAACCUGCCUUCAAGAGGGGAAUAACAUUCUGAAAAGAAUGCUAAUACCGCAUGACAUAUCGGAACCACAUGGUUUUGAUAUCAAAGAUUUUAUCGCUUGAAGAUGGACUCGCGUCCGAUUAGUUAGUUGGUGAGGUAACGGCUCACCAAGACCGCGAUCGGUAGCCGGACUGAGAGGUUGUACGGCCACAUUGGGACUGAGACACGGCCCAGACUCCUACGGGAGACAGCAGUGGGGGAUAUUGCGCAAUGGGGGCAACCCUGACGCAGCAACGCCGCGUGAAGGAUGAAGGUUUUCGGAUUGUAAACUUCUUUUAUUAAGGACGAAAAAUGACGGUACUUAAUGAAUAAGCUCCGGCUAACUACGUG
rnacentral:rRNA from 1 species